CGGUGUUCAACUGGCGUGCCCGCGGGACGUCCUGCCGGUGAGCUCAGCCCGCGAGGGCGGCUCAACUUGAAAUCCCAUCGCGGUGCUCUUCAUUGAGUGUCGAGGUGGGCCGGCACGAUUACUUUUGAACAAAUUAGAGUGCUUAAAGCAGGCUAAAAUUUUGCCUGAAUACUGUGUAUAUGGAAUAAUGGAAUAGGACCUCGGUUCUAUUUUGUUGGUUUUCGGAACCCCGAGGUAAUGAUUAAUAGGAACGGAUGGGGGCAUUCGUAUUGCGACGUUAGAGGUGAAAUUCUUGGAUCGUCGCAAGACGGACUAAAGAGAAAGCAUUUGCCAAAAACGCUUUCAUUGAUCAAGAACGAAAGUUAGAGGUUCGAAGGCGAUCAGAUACCGCCCUAGUUCUAACCAUAAACUAUGCCAGCUAGCGAUCCGCCGACGUCCCUCUGAUGACUCGGCGGGGCAGCUUCCGGGAAACCAAAGCUUUUUGGGUUCCGGGGAGAAGUAUGGUUGCAAAGCUGAAACUUAAAGGAAUUGACGGAAGGGCACCACCCGAGAGUGGAGCGUGCGGCUUAAUUUGACUCAACACGGGAAACCUCACCAGGCCCAGACACUGGAAGGAUUGACAGAUUGAGAGCUCUUUCUUGAUUCAGUGGGUGGUGGUGCAUGGCCGUUCUUAGUCGGUGGAGCGAUUUGUCAGGUUAAUUCUGAUAACGGACGAGACUCUGACCUGAUAACUAGACGCACUUGCGGCAUCUCAAAGGUCCGCCGGCGGCGGGCUUUGCGCCGGUCGUCGCGCGCGAUUUUUACUGCCGGCGUACAAUAAAUUAUUUUUUGAGGGACAAGUGG
rnacentral:rRNA from 1 species